rnacentral:rRNA from 1 species
UGGUGGGUAGUUUGACUGGGGCGGUCUCCUCCUAAAGAGUAACGGAGGAGCACGAAGGUUGGCUAAUCCUGGUCGGACAUCAGGAGGUUAGUGCAAUGGCAUAAGCCAGCUUGACUGCGAGCGUGACGGCGCGAGCAGGUGCGAAAGCAGGUCAUAGUGAUCCGGUGGUUCUGAAUGGAAGGGCCAUCGCUCAACGGAUAAAAGGUACUCCGGGGAUAACAGGCUGAUACCGCCCAAGAGUUCAUAUCGACGGCGGUGUUUGGCACCUCGAUGUCGGCUCAUCACAUCCUGGGGCUGAAGUAGGUCCCAAGGGUAUGGCUGUUCGCCAUUUAAAGUGGUACGCGAGCUGGGUUUAGAACGUCGUGAGACAGUUCGGUCCCUAUCUGCCGUGGGCGCUGGAGAACUGAGGGGGGCUGCUCCUAGUACGAGAGGACCGGAGUGGACGCAUCACUGGUGUUCGGGUUGUCAUGCCAAUGGCACUGCCCGGUAGCUAAAUGCGGAAGAGAUAAGUGCUGAAAGCAUCUAAGCACGAAACUUGCCCCGAGAUGAGUUCUCCCUGACUCCCUGAGAGUCCUGAAGGAACGUUGAAGACGACGACGUUGAUAGGCCGGGUGUGUAAGCGCAGCGAUGCGUUGAGCUAACCGGUAC